AUUGAACGCUGGCGGCAUGCUUUACACAUGCAAGUCGAACGGUAACAGGGAGCUUGCUCCGCUGACGAGUGGCGAACGGGUGAGUAAUGCGUCGGAACGUGCCGAGUAGUGGGGGAUAACGCAUCGAAAGGUGUGCUAAUACCGCAUACGUACUGAGGUAGAAAGUGGGGGACCUUCGGGCCUCACGCUAUUCGAGCGGCCGACGUCUGAUUAGCUAGUUGGUGAGGUAAAGGCUCACCAAGGCGACGAUCAGUAGCGGGUCUGAGAGGAUGAUCCGCCACACUGGGACUGAGACGCGGCCCAGACUCCUACGGGAGGCAGCAGUGGGGAAUUUUGGACAAUGGGCGCAAGCCUGGUUCAGCCAUGCCGCGUGUCUGAAGAAGGCCUUCGGGUUGUAAAGGACUUUUGUCCGGGAGCAAAUGCCUGGUGUUAAUAGCACUGGGAGCUGAGAGUACCGGAAGAAUAAGCACUGGCUAACUACGUGCCAGCAGCCGCCGUAACAC
rnacentral:rRNA from 1 species